rnacentral:snoRNA from 1 species
AUUGCACAACUUAAGUUUGUCGGGGAUCAUUUUUUUUAAACUGAAUCUUGCCCUUUUCUAAGUGUUUGAAACCUUCGAUGAAUGUGUCAAUGUGCAAAGAUAGACUGUUGUUCUCUGUUGAUAAGUGAUUUUGGUAUAUGCUUUGGAAAUUUUUUUCCCUUUCCUAUUGACUUUUGUUUUAAAAGUCGUUUGGAAAGUAUAGGCAUGAUUAAAAUUGCGACUAUUUUUUAAUUGCUUUUCGCUUUUGCAUGCAUAUUAUAUGCAUGCACUCCUCAUGUUUUAUCAGACCUUCGAGAUUGGUUUUUCCAUGUUUCUGUUUUUUCAUAUCAUUUCCCCUCCUUUUAAUAUGUCCUAUAUUAACACCAAUUGUUUUGUACGUGUUGCAUUUCCCAUCAUGAGUCAGUCUAGUCAGAGUUCUUCUUUCAAGUUUGGUUCGGUUGGGCUUGAGACACACAGCAUGGUUGGUGCGCGGGAGGGGAUGAUUGAGAAUAUACGGAAAUCGAAAGACCAUGGAAGCGAAGAUACCUGAGAUAGUUUUGCUGAAAAAGAAGCUACAAAAGCUUGAUUC